GACGAACGCUGGCGGCGUGCUUAACACAUGCAAGUCGAACGGUAAGGCCCUUCGGGGUACACGAGUGGCGAACGGGUGAGUAACACGUGGGUGAUCUGCCCUGCACUUCGGGAUAAGCCAGGGAAACUGGGUCUAAUACCGGAUAGGACCACUGCCUGCAUGGGUGGUGGUGGAAAGCUUUUGCGGUGUGGGAUGGGCCCGCGGCCUAUCAGCUUGUUGGUGGGGUGAUGGCCUACCAAGGCGACGACGGGUAGCCGGCCUGAGAGGGUGACCGGCAACACUGGGACUGGGAUACGGCCCAGACUCCUACGGGAGGCAGCAGUGGGGAAUAUUGCACAAUGGGCGCAAGCCUGAUGCAGCGACGCCGCGUGAGGGAUGACGGCCUUCGGGUUGUAAACCUCUUUCAGCACCGACGAAGCGCAAGUGACGGUAGGUGCAGAAGAAGGACCGGCCAACUACGUGCCAGCCGCCGCGGUAA
rnacentral:rRNA from 1 species